GGGUAUAGCUUAGUGGUAGAGUGCAUGCCUAACAUGCACAAGGUCCUGGGUUCAAUCCCCAGGACUCCCA
rnacentral:tRNA from 1 species